rnacentral:misc_RNA from 1 species
GAUGAAGAACGUAGCGAAAUGCGAUACGUAAUGUGAAUUGCAGAAUUCAGUGAAUCAUCGAAUCUUUGAACGCAUAUUGCGCUCUCUGGUAUUCCGGAGAGCAUGCUUGUUUGAGUAUCAGUAAACACCUCAACUCCCUUUUCUUUUUUGAAAUUGGAGCUGGACUUGAGUGAUCCCAACGCUUUCUUCCAAGAAAGUGGCGGGUUGCUUGAAAUGCAGGUGCAGCUGAACUUUUCUCUGAGGUAUAAGCAUAUCUAUUUAGUCUGCCUAAAAAACAGAUUAUUACCUUUGCUGCAGCUAACAUAAAGGAGACUAGUUCUUGUGCUGACUGAUGCAGGAUUCACAGAGACAGCUUCGGCUGACUUUGUAAACUCGAUCUCAAAUCAAGUAAGACUACCCGCUGAACUUAAGCAUAUCAAUAAGCGGAGGA